rnacentral:rRNA from 1 species
GUGUCAGCCGCCGCGGUAAUACGGGGGGGGCAAGCGUUGUUCGGAAUUACUGGGCGUAAAGGGCUCGUAGGCGGCCAACUAAGUCGGACGUGAAAUCCCUCGGCUCAACCGGGGAACUGCGUCCGAUACUGGAUGGCUUGAAUUCGGGAGAGGGAUGCGGAAUUCCAGGUGUAGCGGUGAAAUGCGUAGAUAUCUGGAGGAACACCGGUGGCGAAGGCGGCAUCCUGGACCGAUAUUGACGCUGAGGAGCGAAAGCCAGGGGAGCAAACGGGAUUAGAUACCCUGGUAGUCC